GCAACGAUCGAUAUAAAAAGUGUUUAGGAAAAAAAAAUAACAAUGUAUAUUAAAGGGAGGAAGAAGAUUCGGGGAUUGAGUCCAGUUGAAGACUCGAGUAUCUUGGUGCUUGAUCCAUAAGGGUGGCUUCCUCAGAUGGAAGACGAUUCUAAGGACGAUCUAAUCUGUGAUAACUAAUACGUACUUUGAUACAAAGAUAGGCAAAAUUCUUAUCUAGAUAUAAGUUCUCGAAAUAACGAGUCAAAGAUAUACAACAUUUAAUCUGUUAUUUAUUCAACAAAAAUUGAGUCCGAAAUCGUAAAAUGAAUUGUAAAAAGCUUAUCUAAACAGUGAUACACCAUUCUACAAGGUCUCGAGAAGAAAUUAUUAAACGUUUUUCGAAACCAUUAGCAACAUAUCAAAUCAAUUAAUUUCCUAAUCUAUAAAAUGAAAUAAAUCUGUGAAGAUCGAAAUAAGAUUACAUUAUUCAGAAUCCAAAAUCUGAGGAACAAAAUAAGCUUACAUCGCAUUACAACAUAACCUAACAUAACAUGCUGACCGAUAAACUUGUUUGCAUUUAAUAAUCGGGACCAUGAGAAAUUACAUAUAUAUUUUAAUCCAGCUGUAAGAAAUAAAUCGUAAUAUUUCUCCAUUUGUCAUUUAUUUUUUAUUCGAAUAAAAUUUUACUCGUCUUGGA